AUGCCCACCUGGUGAGAAAGAUACCAUUAUUACAAAGGUGAUUUUCCGAGAGUCAGGCUCAUCCAUUGCAUUUCAGAUGUGCUGAUCCGCAUGAUUUCUGCAAAUGCAGGAACCUAGACUGCAUUAAUUUGUGGUAGUGGUACACUUUGUUUAUGCUUUCCCC
rnacentral:snRNA from 1 species